rnacentral:lncRNA from 1 species
GAGCUGAAAACUCUGGAUAUUGGCUAUAAUUGGUCUGUGGUGUUUUCAUUUUGGAGUUUCUUUCAGGAGGCUCCAGAGAAAACUGCUUUGGAAACAAUCACAAUCAUCAGAAAAAGAUACAAGCCCAUGGGCCUAGAUAAUUACAGAGAAGACCAGAUUUCAGGCAACCAGAGCACAAGGAAUAGAGCGGAUGGGGUCACUUGGCUUUGAA